UAAUUCUCUCCCCUCCCGUGCAUUAUUUCCACCUUACCGAAUCUGGAAAGGAGGCCAAAGAAGUUGCCGAAGAAGUUGGCAUUUUCAAAGCCAAGAGCCCUUUUUCUUCUGCUGCAGGAGCCUUCUGGAUGCUGGUGUACAUCAGAGACUCGAAUGCCAAUGAGAAUAGCUAGCUAGUCAGCAGGAGAUGACCAGUCUUAACACUUCAUUGUGUUCAUAAAAUCCUGAUCAUUAGCAAAGAGGCAAUUUUAGACUUAAAGGCAGGGCUUCCUGCCUAAGAGAGAGGGCUUCCUGUCUCCUAAGAGAGACUCCACUGGGGGUGCCAUUCACCUCCCCCUCUCAAUCUUCCCUACAAUCGUGUGUGUGACAGCAAGGACUCAUGUUGACUCCUUAUCCUUUCUGUGAGCCUCAGCCAUUUGAUCAUGACGGUUUUCCUCCUAGUUGUUGAAGAUUCCUUUUCUUCAGGUGUGAGCCUUUUAAGGACGGAGCUUAGCCUGGAACCACGGGGAUAUCCUCAGAUGGACAUACCUGCAGUCUCCAGAGUGGCUUUUCCCCUGGAACGAAUAGCUCACGCUUCACUCUUGGGCAAAGGCUCCUGCUGCUCAUAAACAUAUGACCAUGGCCUACAUGCACGCUGCAGGUGGUGGCACAAGCCCAGUUCCUGGUCCUUAACUUCCCUUCUGAAUGUAACUUCAUGUCUCCCCCCCUUGGGAAAGAGGUUAAAAACCAAAAAUAAAGUAGUGUCAUGAGUGCCCUGAA